UUACCGAGACGAUAAUUUUUCCGACGAAGAGAAAAAAAUGCUUAAUUCGUAGGAACGAAAACACCUCCGGAAAAGUUUCUCAUCCACCAAAUUGUCCCGAAUGACGAGAAAAUACAACAACAACGACAAAGGGCCGAUGAAAAUUUGGCUGCAACGGGAUUCGUCGUACGGAGAUGAAGUGAAAUUCUCGGCGGGCUGAUCGGCAAAGAAUACUUGCAUGCAACGCCUGGAGGGUGUAGCCUUCGAUCAUCGGUAGAGCUUCACCCUUAUUGCGACCCGAGUGUGUAAUAUGCGAGGGAAUUCGCAGCCCUCCAGGUCUACCGAACAUCCACAAUCAUUGCAGAGAGAUUGAAUCCUGUGAUAAGGGGAAGCGAUUCGAGCUUAUAAACGAAGGUCGACGCGUAUCGAAGAACCGUGUUCGCGAUAAUUAUUCACAGGCUUCGCUUCGGGAUUGAUAAAGUUAUUACUGUCGGCAAUUUUUAUUAUCAUUUCGCGUUUUCUGUCGCAAUUUUUACGCGUUCGACACGAUCGCGCCGCUUUUAUCGCCAACGGUAAAAUAAUUAUUGCCCGUGUCUGAGGACGCGAAGCGUUUCGACGCGGCAAACACGCGGGUAUAUAAACGACAGAAAUACGGGCACAGAGCAUAGUUGGAAAAUCUUCGUUGACCCGCUAAAAUCAUCAAACAUGAAUUCGAUCAAGCUGUUGCUGAUUCUGACCGUUGGAGUCUUUGGCGCGAUCUUUGCCGUCGCUGAUGCCUCACCUAACAAAGAAAAAACUGACUAGAUCAGUUACCGAUCGAAAACUGAUUGUCAGCCGUGUCUCGUUUCAACGCGACGCAUACGUAUGCAGACUUACAUAUAUACACAUAAAUGAAUCUUCACACCUUCGACCAAGUUACGCGCGAGUUUUACCUGCGAUCUGCGCUCCAGUAUCCUGUUCAAAUACAGCUUGAAUUCAAACACCGAAACUGAAGAUGUGAAAAAAACAUGUCUAAUUUGUAACAACGAUAAUAACAAUAGUAACAACAAUAUGUAUUCCACCCUGCAACACGUUGCGUUGAAAAAUAAAACUGACAUAUUCACAGA